rnacentral:rRNA from 1 species
AUUGAACGCUGGCGGCAGGCCUAACACAUGCAAGUCGAGCGGGGCGGGGGACGGGUGAGUAAGGCCUAGGAAUCUGCCCGGGCGUGGGGGAUAAGGUUCGGAAACGGGAGGUAAUACCGCAUACUAUCAGAUGAGCCUAGGUCGGAUUAGCAAGUUGGUGGGGUAAAGGCCUACCAAGGCGACGAUCUCUAGCUGGUCGGAGAGGAUGAUCAGCCACACUGGGACUGAGACACGGCCCAGACUCCUACGGGAGGCAGCAGUGGGGAAUAUUGGACAAUGGGCGAAAGCCUGAUGCAGCCAUGCCGCGUGUAUGAAGAAGGCCUUCGGGUUGUAAAGUACUUUCAGCGGGGAGGCGUUACCUGCAGAAGAAGCACCGGCUAACUCCGUGCCAGCAGCCGCGGUAAUUC